UGAUAAUAAAAUAAAACAAAUUUUAAUUUAGUUAAAUUUUUGAGGAUAAGCUCGAAAAUUGUAUAUCAUGUUUGCAUAUUAUUUUAAUUAAAAUUUAAGCCUGAAAAUAGCUNNNNNNNNNNNNNNNNNNNNAUUUCAUUAAGUAUAUUGAAAAAGAAUUGAUUUGCUUAAUAAUAAACGAAGAAAACUUUAGAACUAAAAUAAGUUGAACCUAUGUUAAAAUGAGUAUUAAUUAAUGUAUAAACCUUUAAUAUUGUAUAGUUUAAAGCCAAUAUUUUUAUAUUAAAUUUUAAAUCAUAAAAAGGAACUCGGCAAAUACAUAUUCUGCCUGUUUAGCAAAAACAUGGCUCCCUGUCAAAAGUAAAUAGGGAGUCGGACCUGCCCGGUGAAUUUUUUUAACGGCCGCGGUACUCUGACCGUGCAAAGGUAGCAUAAUCAUUUGCCUUAUAAUUGAAGGCUAGUAUGAAUGGUUUGACAAGAAUAUAGCUGUCUCUUUAUGAUUUAGUAGAAUUUUAUUUUCAGGUGAAGAAGCCUGUAUUGAAUUAAAAGACAAGAAGACCCUAUCGAGCUUAAAAAAAAUCAGCGGACUAAUAAGCUGAUAUAACUAAAAAACCAACCAUUGAAAAUUUUAGUUGGGGCGACUGAGGAACAAGAAAAGCUUCCUUUAUACACUAAAGACAUACGAGUCUUGAUCCAAAACAUUUUGAUUAAAGAAAUUAGUUACCGUAGGGAUAACAGCAUUAUCUUUUUUAAGAGUUCUUAUCGAAAAAAAGGUUUGUGACCUCGAUGUUGGACCAGAAUAUCCUAAAGAUGCAGCAGUCUUUAAGGGUUGGUCUGUUCGACCAUUAAAAUUCUACGUGAUCUGAGUUCAGACCGGCGUGAGCCAGGUCAGUUUCUAUCUUUAAUUUUUA
rnacentral:rRNA from 1 species